UAUGAUUGGUGAUAAAUAUCC
rnacentral:piRNA from 1 species